ACAGCCUAAAACCCCAAACAGCAAGCAAUGCAGGUGUAGAAGCACGGUGGCUAGGAAAAACUCCCUGGAAAGGCCAAAACCUAGGAAGAAACUUAGAGAGGAACCAGGCUAUGAGAGGUGGCCAGUCUUCUUCUGGCUGUGCCGGGUGGAGAUUAUAACAGAACAUGGCCAAGAUGUUCAAAUGUUCAUAAAUGACCAGCAUGGUCAAAUAAUAAUAAUCACAGUGGUUGUCGAGGGUGUAACAGGUCAGCACCUCAGGAGUAAAUGUCAAUUGGCUUUUCAUAGCCGAUCAUUGAGAGUAUCUCUACUGCUCCUGCGGUCUCUAGAGAGUUGAAAACAGCAGGUCUGGGACAGGUAGCACGUCCGGUGAACACCUGUUUAGGAGAGGUGCUAGCUAGCGGAGUAGGAUCAUUCGAGGAGCUAGCCAUCGUUCACACAUACAAUAGCCUGCUAAUACCUUAGCUAGCUUUUAACCACAUGUUGAAUUCAGAAUGUUGAUAUCAUCCUAAAAAGUACAAUUACAAGUGCAUCUGAACAAUACCAUCCACUUAUGAGUAACCUCUAAAUAUACAACAUUAUUCAUGAACAAAACAGUGUGUAUGACUUUGUGCUUAAAAUAAUCAAACUUUUCUGAAGAUGACAGAUAAAGCGUACCUUGUAACUGGAGAUUCCUUCAAAACGAUUGCCUAGUUACCGUGUAGGGCACUGCAAGGUUGGAUGACCAGGGUCAUCUGGGACUGCCUCCUGGAGGAAUUCAGGUGUGUGAAGGCUACCUGUGUCCUGCGUAACUUCAUGAGGAUGGACACGAGGACCAGGAGGGGAUCUGCAGCUCGCCGCCGUGUCCCAGAGGAGGAGUCUGCUGCUCUGCAGGAUGUUUCAAGGAUGGGGUCCAACAACGCAGCAAGAGAGGCAAUCCGUGUGCAGGAGAUCUUCACCUCCUACUUAUUCAAAGAGGGUGCUGUUCCCUGGUAACACCAUAGACUACACUAUGCACAACCAAAGGCUCUUUUAAGAGGGUGCUGUUCCCUGGCAACACCAUAGACUACACUAUGCACAACCAAAGGCUCUUUUAAGAGGGUGCUGUUCCCUGGCAACACCAUAUACUACACUAUGCACAACCAAAGGCUCUUUUAAGAGCCAUUCACAUUGCAAUAAGAGUAUUCUUCCAUUUACUUUGCUAUGUCAACUGCAGUUAUUUAAUUCAUAGUUUCUCUCCCUUUGAUUUCUACUUCUCAGGUGAGUGUUCUGUUUAGGUAAGGGUGUGAUGUCUGUGCAAAAACAAAACAGGCUAUUUUAUAUCACCCAUAUUGAAAAAAUGUAGAACAAUUAGACACCCUAUAACCCACACCUACACACUCAUGUAUCAAUCUGAUUGAUGGAUUGUGUUGUGCAGUAAGCAGGCUCAGGUGUAUAACUGUGGCUCCUUCCACCUUCAAAGAAUAGGCAAGAGGGCCAACCAUGGAGAAUAGUAAGACACUUCAUUAUUUCUAUAACUACGCUAUAUUGUUUGUCCUUGUGGGUCCAUUCAUGUUUUUCAGCAUAAAGUACUCUGCAGCCACUUAGUGUGGUGUGGACACCAGGUGAGGCGACACACAGAUUCCUGUUGAACACUGUGGCUUUAACUACCUUAUUUUCUCAAUAACAGUCUCUCUCCUUCACUUCAUCCCUCUCUCCCCUUCUCCCUAAAUCCUCUAGGUUAUAUCAGCUGUGUCGGUGAACCCCUACAGCAUCUGAACUGGCUAUAUAGAGGACACAGCAUGGUCAGAGAUAUGUUUUGAUGUGAGAGGAUGCCAACCCCUAGUCCCAUCAUCGCCACCUCACCUGCGUUUAAGAUAACCUUUGUGCCGACUAGAGACACUUAUGUAAUUGUGAUGAACUGAGAGAAUAUUUAUGUAGCACUGUGAUUCAUUAAUCAUGUGCUGCCUUCCCUGCUCCUGUCUGCUUACCUCUUUCCCUUUCUGUCUUUUACACCUCUCUCGCUACCUCCUCUUUCUUCCUCUGUUUUUAUAAUGCACAACAGAUGUGCAUUGAAGUACAGAUUGAACUUGUAUUUACAACACUUGGAUAAUGAGCUUUUCAAUCAAGCGUUUCACAUUCUCUA